CAAUAGCGUAUAUUAAAGUUGUUGCGGUUAAAAAGCUCGUAGUUGGAUUUCUGCUGAGAACGACCGGUCCGCCCUUUGGGUGUGUAUCUGGCUCUUUCUUGGCAUCUUCUUGGUGAACGUUGCUGCACUUGACUGUGUGGAGCGCUACCCAGGACUUUUACUUUGAGGAAAUUAGAGUGUUUCAAGCAGGCAUACGCCUUGAAUACAUUAGCAUGGAAUAAUAAGAUAGGACCUCGGUUCUAUUUUGUUGGUUUCUAGAGCUGAGGUAAUGAUUAAUAGGGAUAGUUGGGGGCAUUCGUAUUUAACUGUCAGAGGUGAAAUUCUUGGAUUUGUUAAAGACGGACUACUGCGAANGNAUUUGUNAAGGAUGUUUNCAUUA
rnacentral:rRNA from 1 species